rnacentral:sRNA from 1 species
UGGAAUUGCUAUCCCACAAUUCACACAGC